CCUACGGGAGGCUGCACUUAGGAAUAUUACACAAUGGGGGCAACCCUGAUGUAGCGACACCGCGUGGAGGAAGAAGGUUCUCGGAUUGUAAACUCCUUUUAUAUGGGACGAAUAGAUGACGGUACCAUAUGAAUAAGUACCUGCUAACUACGUGCCAGAAGCAUCGGUGAUGCGUAGGGUACAAACGUUAUCCGGAUUUAUUGGGCGUAAAGAGAAGCGUAGGCGUUUUUGUAAGUCUUGAGUUAAAGACCACGGCUCAACCGUGGAAGAGCUUUCGAUACUGCAAGAAUUGAGACAGGAAUGGGCGAAUGGAAUUCCGAGUGGAGCGGUGAAAUGCGUUGAUAUUCGGAGGAACAUCAGUGGCGAAGGCGAUUCGCUGGUCCUUGUCUGACGCUAAGGCUCGAAAGCGUGGGUAGCAAAAC
rnacentral:rRNA from 1 species